rnacentral:rRNA from 1 species
UUUAAUUGAAGAGUUUGAUCAUGGCUCAGAUUGAACGCUGGCGGUAGGCUUAACACAUGCAAGUCGUGCGA